UCUUCUAUCUCUCACCUUCCUCUUACUAAUUUCUUCUAAAUUUUAUUACUAAUUUCUCGCAUUCUUCCUCAUGCAAAAUCAUAGUUCAAAAACCCCUCAUCGAAAUCUCCAACCGCCUCGUCAUUCUAACCAUUCACGCCGCAUGAUUUCAAUUUUCUUCCUCCUCUCCCCUAACUCCAUAACUACGUUUUUAGUGUUGUAUUUCUUCAGAUCUAUGAUUUUAGUUUUCCAUUUCUUUAGAUUUAUGAUUUUGGUUUCGUUUUUCUUCAGAUCUACUGCAUUUGUGUUACAUUCCCAAUCACUUCAUCUAUUUCCCUCUCUUGCACUACCAUCAUUAUUCAUAGCCACCCUGUAGAAACCCUAAUCCCAAAUCUGAUCCCUUGCCGCUCAAAUUUACCCCAACAUUUCAUCUCUUGCCGCCUCCAAUUACCCCAUGAACAGAACAUGAUUCUUCUCAUAUGGAGGCUUGGUAGGACAAUUGAUAGGGUUGUUGGAGCUUGGUAGUGGAGGGUCUUCAAACAGUUCGUGAGACCAUUCGUUACGUCAUCUCUGCACAUCUCAGCCUCGCAUCUUUGCAUUUAGGGAUAUGGGAAAAACGAAAUUCUAUGUCGUAUUUGCCGAUCGUAGACUUGGAAUUUACAAGACAUGGUAUGAUUGUAAUAGACAAGUUUAUGGCUUCACUGGGGCAGUGCACAAGUCAUAUUUGACACUAGAAGAAGCUGAGUAUGCCUACAUUGCAGCCACAGUUGGCC